rnacentral:rRNA from 1 species
UAGGGAAUCUUCCACAAUGGACGCAAGUCUGAUGGAGCAACGCCGCGUGAGUGAAGAAGGUUUUCGGACCGUAAAGCUCUGUUGUUGGUGAAGAAGGAUAGAGGUAGUAACUGGCCUUUAUUUGACGGUAAUCAACCAGAAAGUCACGGCUAACUACGUGCCAGCAGCCGCGGUAAUACGUAGGUGGCAAGCGUUGUCCGGAUUUAUUGGGCGUAAAGCGAGCGCAGGCGGAAGAAUAAGUCUGAUGUGAAAGCCCUCGGCUUAACCGAGGAAUUGCAUCGGAAACUGUUUUCUUGAGUGCAGAAGAGGAGAGUAGAACUCCAUGUGUAGCGGUGGAAUGCGUAGAUAUAUGGAAGAAUACCAGUGGCGAAGGCGGCUCUCUGGUCUGCAACUGACGCUGAGGCUCGAAAGCAUGGGUAGCGAACAGGAUUAGAUACCCUUGGUAGUCCAUGCCGUAAACGAUGAGUGCUAAGUGUU